rnacentral:rRNA from 1 species
GGAUUCCCCUAGUAACUGCGAGUGAAGAGGGAAAAGCUCAAAUUUAAAAUCUGGUAGUCUAUGGCUGCCCGAGUUGUAAUCUAGAGAAGCAUUAUCCGCGCCGGACCAUGUACAAGUUUCCUGGAAUGGAGCGUCAUAGAGGGUGAGAAUCCCGUCUUUGACAUGGGCUACCGGGGCUUUGUGAUGUGCUCUCCAAGAGUCGAGUUGUUUGGGAAUGCAGCUCUAAAUGGGUGGUAAAUUCCAUCUAAAGCUAAAUAUUGGCGAGAGACCGAUAGCGAACAAGUACCGUGAGGGAAAGAUGAAAAGAACUUUGGAAAGAGAGUUAAACAGUACGUGAAAUUGUUGAAAGGGAAACGCUUGAAGUCAGUCGCGUCUGCCAGGAAUCAACCUUGGCUGGGUGUACUUUCUGGUUGACGGGUCAGCAUCAAUUUUGAUCAGUGGAAAAAGUUCAGAGGAAUGUGGCACCUUCGGGUGUGU